GACGAACGCUGGCGGCGUGCUUAACACAUGCAAGUCGAACGGUGAUGCCCCAGCUUGCUGGAGUGGAUCAGUGGCGAACGGGUGAGUAACACGUGAGCAACCUGCCCCAGACUCUGGAAUAAGCGCUGGAAACGGCGUCUAAUACUGGAUACGAAACUGGCCCGCAUGGGCAUGGUUUGGAAAGUUUUUCGGUUUGGGAUGGGCUCGCGGCCUAUCAGCUUGUUGGUGAGGUAAUGGCUCACCAAGGCGACGCCCGGUAGCCGGCCUGAGAGGGCGACCGGCCACGCUGGGACUGAGACACGGCCCAGACUCCUACGGGAGGCAGCAGUGGGGAAUAUUGCACAAUGGGCGAAAGCCUGAUGCAGCGACGCCGCGUGGGGGAUGACGGCCUUCGGGUUGUAAACCUCUUUCAGCAGGGAAGAAGCGAAAGUGACGGUACCUGCAGAAGAAGCACCGGCUAACUACGUG
rnacentral:rRNA from 1 species